UUACGCUCAUGUGAGCUAGAAUUCAUAUGAACUAAAGAUUCACCAAGAGAACAAAAUGAAAAGCUAAACGAUGAUCAGAACUUGUGGUACAUCUUCAAUUUGAUAUGUAUCACUUAUCACUUACCAAUCCAAGAUACAAAAAAAACUCCAAUCCCUUACAUUGGAUAUUUGUCGAAGAGAUGUCCUAACUCUCUAACAAACCAUACACUUUGU
rnacentral:lncRNA from 1 species